rnacentral:rRNA from 1 species
AGAGUUUGAUCCUGGCUCAGGAUGAACGCUGGCGGUAUGCUUAACACAUGCAAGUCGAACGGUCUUUUCGGACACAGUGGCGGACGGGUGAGUAACGCGUGAGAAUCUGGCUUCUAGGUCUGGGACAACCACUGGAAACGGUGGCUAAUACCGGAUGUGCCGAGAGGUGAAAGGUUAACUGCCUAGAGAUGAGCUCGCGUCUGAUUAGCUAGUUGGAAGUGUAAUGGACUCCCAAGGCGACGAUCAGUAGCUGGUCUGAGAGGACGAUCAGCCACACUGGGACUGAGACACGGCCCAGACUCCUACGGGAGGCAGCAGUGGGGAAUUUUCCGCAAUGGGCGAAACCGUGACGGAGCAAUACCGCGUGAGGGAGGAAGGCUCUUGGGUCGUAAACCUCUUUUCUCAGGGAAGAACAAAAUGACGGUACCUGAGGAAUAAGCAUCGGCUAACUCCGUGCCAGCAGCCGCGGUAAUACGGAGGAUGCAAGCGUUAUCCGGAAUGAUUGGGCGUAAAGCGUCCGCAGGUGGCAAUGUAAGUCUGCUGUUAAAGAGUCUAGCUCAACUAGAUAAAAGCAGUGGAAACUACAUAGCUAGAGUACGUUCGGGGCAGAGGGAAUUCCUGGUGUAGCGGUGAAAUGCGUAGAGAUCAGGAAGAACACCGGUGGCGAAGGCGCUCUGCUAGGCCGUAACUGACACUGAGGGACGAAAGCUAGGGGAGCGAAUGGGAUUAGAUACCCCAGUAGUCCUAGCCGUAAACGAUGGAUACUAGGCGUGGCUUGUAUCGACCCGAGCCGUGCCGUAGCUAACGCGUUAAGUAUCCCGCCUGGGGAGUACGCCGGCAACGGUGAAACUCAAAGGAAUUGACGGGGGCCCGCACAAGCGGUGGAGUAUGUGGUUUAAUUCGAUGCAACGCGAAGAACCUUACCAAGGCUUGACAUGUCGCGAAUCUUCUUGAAAGAAGGGAGUGCCUUCGGGAGCGCGAACACAGGUGGUGCAUGGCUGUCGUCAGCUCGUGUCGUGAGAUGUUGGGUUAAGUCCCGCAACGAGCGCAACCCUCGUUUUUAGUUGCCAGCAUUAAGUUGGGCACUCUAGAGAGACUGCCGGUGACAAACCGGAGGAAGGUGGGGAUGACGUCAAGUCAGCAUGCCCCUUACGCCUUGGGCUACACACGUACUACAAUGCUCCGGACAGAGGGCAGCAAGCAUGCGAAUGCAAGCAAAUCCCGUAAACCGGAGCUCAGUUCAGAUCGCAGGCUGCAACUCGCCUGCGUGAAGGAGGAAUCGCUAGUAAUUGCAGGUCAGCAUACUGCAGUGAAUUCGUUCCCGGGCCUUGUACACACCGCCCGUCACACCAUGGAAGCUGGUAGGCCCGAAGUCAUUACUCCAACCAUUCGUGGAGGAGGAUGCCUAAGGCAGGACUGGUGACUGGGGUGAAGUCGUAACAAG